rnacentral:rRNA from 1 species
UACGUAGGUGGCAAGCGUUAUCCGGAUUUAUUGGGCGUAAAGGGAACGCAGGCGGUCUUUUAAGUCUGAUGUGAAAGCCUUCGGCUUAGCCGGAGUAGUGCAUUGGAAACUGGGAGACUUGAGUGCAGAAGAGGAGGGUGGAACUCCAUGUGUAGCGGUGAAAUGCGUAGAUAUAUGGAAGAACACCAGUGGCGAAAGCGGCUCUCUGGUCUGUAACUGACGCUGAGGUUCGAAAGCGUGGGUAGCAAACAGG